ACCUAGCAAAUGAUUUCUUGGAUAUUUUCCAACUUUUGUUAUUACUUGUAGUGCCUGUUGAAAGCCUGGCUUACCGAAAAAGAAGAGGCUUUGAAUAAAGUCCAGACGAGCAACUUCAAAGACCAGAAGGAGCUAAGCGUCAGUGUCCGACGUCUGGCUAUUUUGAAGGAAGAUAUGGAAAUGAAGCGCCAGACGUUGGAUCAGCUGAGUGAGAUUGGCCAGGAUGUGGGUCAGUUACUUGAUAAUCCCAAGGCGUCUGAGAAGAUGAACAGUGACUCGGAGGAGCUGACUCAGAGAUGGGAUUCUUUGGUUCAGAGACUAGAAGAUUCCUCUAACCAGGUGACUCAGGCUGUAGCGAAGCUGGGGAUGUCCCAGAUUCCUCAGAAGGAUCUUUUGGAGACGGUUCGUGUAAGAGAACAAGUAACUACCAAAAAGUCUAAGCAGGAACUGCCACCGCCUCCUCCUCCAAAGAAGAGACAGGUCCAUGUGGACAUUGAAGCUAAGAAAACGUUUGAUGCUGUAAGUGCAGAGCUGAUGAACUGGAUUCUGAAAUCAAAGACUGCCAUUCAGAGUUCAGAGAUAAAAGAGUAUAAGAAGAUGCAAGAGACUUCAGAAAUGAAAAAGAAGUUGAAGGUAAAAAAAUAAAUCAAAAAUUCUAUACUGAGUAAAAUAUUUCAUCAGGCUG
rnacentral:lncRNA from 1 species